GUUGUUUUAAACAAAUCGUAAUAUUUUUAAUAUCCAGAAAAUAAGGUUUUUAUGACAACUCAUUGAUAUUUUAUGUUAAGUCAUACAAGUCUUUUGUUGAAGACUGAAUGUUGCCCUUUAUUAAUUUUUUUACUUUGUGUAACUUGAUUGUUGUCUCAUUGAUAUACACCAAAAAAACUUCCUUUAUUCUUGUACAAGAUAAUAGCUUUAACAAUCAGAAGGUUAUUUCAUCUUUCAAUUACUUAGUGCUUAUGUACCAGAACUUCUCAGUACACAUAUACUAGAUCUAAUAUUUACCAGGUUACAAAAAAU
rnacentral:lncRNA from 1 species